rnacentral:tRNA from 8 species
GCCCGGGUGGUGGAAUUGGGAUACACGGAAGGCUUAAAACUUUCUGCCGAAAGGCUUGUGGGUUCGAACCCCACCCCGGGCACAA